rnacentral:rRNA from 1 species
UACGUAGGUGGCAAGCGUUGUCCGGAAUCAUUGGGCGUAAAGCGCGCGCAGGCGGUCCUUUAAGUCUGAUGUGAAAUCUUGCGGCUCAACCGUAAGCGGUCAUCUGAAACUUUGGGACUUGAGUAUCAGAGGGGAAAGCGGAAUUCCUGGUGUAGCGGUGAAAUGCGUAGAUAUCAGGAGGAACACCGGCGGCGAAGGCGGCUUGCUGGACGGCAACUGACGUUGAGGCUCGAAAGCGUGGGGAGCAAACAGGAUUAGAUACCCGGGUA